AAUCAAUCUCUGCUGUGGCCACUGCUAGAGUUGCUUGCCUCGAGGUAGACAUGAAGACAAUAUUGGCGCUUAGUUUUAUGAUACUUAUAAGGCAAGCAAGCCCACGCGGACCGUGCGGCUGCAAACCGGUGUUCGAAUAUUGCGCCAACGACUACACCACGUACCACAGCAUCUGCGAGUACAAGUGCAAACAUCCCUCCACCCCGUUCCAUGACUGGUAUAUUCUGUAUAACGGGCCUUGCAUUUCUACGUCAGGGACUACAACUGAGCGGUGGAUUACACCUGAGUGGAGGACUACACCUACACCUAGACGGACAACUACUACUGACGACUGGAGGACGAUCGGUGAUGGCCUACAUGGAUGAACUAAUUAAUUAUGUUUUGUGCUAAUAAAAAAUCUAAUAUUUAA